UACGGGGGGGGGCAAGCGUUGUUCGGAAUUACUGGGCGUAAAGGGCGCGUAGGCGGCCAUCUAAGUCAGACGUGAAAUCCCUCGGCUCAACCGAGGAACUGCGUCUGAUACUGGAAGGCUUGAAUCCGGGAGAGGGAUGUGGAAUUCCAGGUGUAGCGGUGAAAUGCGUAGAUAUCUGGAGGAACACCGGUGGCGAAGGCGGCAUCCUGGACCAAUACUGACGGCUGAGGAGCGAAAGCCAGGGGAGCAAAGCGGGG
rnacentral:rRNA from 1 species